GACGAACGCUGGCGGCGUGCUUAACACAUGCAAGUCGAGCGGAAAGGCCCUGUCGGGGGUACUCGAGCGGCGAACGGGGGAGGAACACGUGAGUAAUCUGCCCUUCACUUGGGGAUAACCGCCGGAAACGGUGGCGAAUACCCGAUACGACCAUUCCUCGCAUGAGGUGGCGGUGGAAAGUUUUUCGGUGGGGGAUGUGCUCGCGGCCUAUCCGCUUGUUGGUGGGGGAAUGGCCUACCAAGGCUGGGACGGGUAGCCGGCCUGAGAGGGUGACCGGCCACACUGGGACUGGGACACGGCCCAGACUCCUACGGGAGGCAGCGGUGGGGAAUAUUGGACAAUGGGCGGAAGCCUGAUCCAGCAACGCCGCGUGGGGGAUGACGGCCUUCGGGUUGUAAACCUCUUUCACCUGUGACGAAGCGAAAGUGACGGUAGCAGGAGAAGAAGCACCGGCCAACUACGUG
rnacentral:rRNA from 1 species